rnacentral:rRNA from 1 species
UGGGGAAUUUUGGACAAUGGGCGAAAGCCUGAUCCAGCCAUGCCGCGUGAGUGAAGAAGGCCUUCGGGUUGUAAAGCUCUUUCAGACGGAAAGAAAUUGCUCUGGUUAAUAACUGGAGUAGAUGACGGUACCGUAAGAAGAAGCACCGGCUAACUACGUGCCAGCAGCCGCGGUAAUACGUAGGGUGCGAGCGUUAAUCGGAAUUACUGGGCGUAAAGCGUGCGCAGGCGGUUGCAUAAGACAGAUGUGAAAUCCCCGGGCUCAACCUGGGAACUGCGUUUGUGACUGUGCGACUGGAGUACGGUAGAGGGGGGUGGAAUUCCUGGUGUAGCAGUGAAAUGCGUAGAUAUCAGGAGGAACAUCGAUGGCGAAGGCAGCCCCCUGGACCUGUACUGACGCUCAUGCACGAAAGCGUGGGGAGCAAACAGG